UUUCGCAAUGCCCGAAAGGGUGACGAAGUGACGCCGCGUGGGUGAGGAAGGCCUUCGGGUUGUAAAACCCUGUCAGGAGUUAAGAAAUAUAAGUGCGCUAAUAUCGCAUUUAUUUGACGAAGGCUCCAAAGGAAGCCACGGCUAACUCUGUGCCAGCAGCCGCGGUAAUACAGAGGUGGCAAGCGUUGUUCGGAAUUAUUGGGCGUAAAGAGCACGUAGGUGGAUUUGUAAGUCAGAUGUGAAAGCCUUCUGUUCAACGGAAGAAUUGCAUCUGAAACUACAAACCUUGAGUGUAGGAGGGGAGAAUGGAACUUCUGGUGGAGCGGUGAAAUGCGUAGAUAUCAGAAGGAACGCCGGCGGCGAAAGCGAUUCUCUGGCCUAUUACUGACACUGAGUGUGCGAAAGCUAGGGGAGCAAACGGGAUUAGAUACCCCGGUAGUCCUAGCCGUAAACGAUGGGCACUAAGUAGAGGGGUUUU
rnacentral:rRNA from 1 species